AGAGAACUAGAGAGAAAGCAGUAUGAGAAAGACUCGACAUGACUUGUGAAGAUGAAGGAGGGGGAUCAGGAGCCAGGAAAUAAUAAUCUGGAAGUCUUCCUGGAAGAGGUUAUGCUAAAGGUGACAUCAGUUUCUCUAGGAUGAAGCAAGUCCUGAUGUCUUCAGAGGAGUCCAAGCCACCAGUUAAGCACUCACAGAUACAGAUUGUGUCCAGCAUUCCCCAGGAAAUCCGCCUGGCUGAACCUUGGCCAACAAACGAACUGUUUUUUGACUUGAUAUCUUCAUGUAAAAACAGUGCAUCACACUCUCCCUCAGAGAGAUGUUGUAUUAUCAAAUAAGAGAAGAUGUAAAAG
rnacentral:lncRNA from 1 species